rnacentral:tRNA from 1 species
GGGGUGUUAGUAAGCUAAUUACGUAACCUUGUCAAGGUUAAGUCACAGGUGAAAGCCCCGUACAUCCCA